AUACGUAGGUGACAAGCGUUAUCCGGAUUUACUGGGCGUAAAGGGCGUGUAGGCGGUCUUGCAAGUCAGAAGUGAAAUUCCUGAGCUCAACUCGGGCGCUGCUUCUGAAACUGCAGGACUUGAGUGCUGGAGGGGAUAGCGGAAUUCCUAGUGGAGCGGUAAAAUGCGCAGAUAUUAGGAAGAACACCGGUGGCGAAGGCGGCUAUCUGGACAGUAACUGACGCUGAGGCGCGAAAGCGUGGGGAGCAAACAGGAUUAGAGACCCUGGGAGUCCACGCCGUAAACGAUGAAUACUAGGUGUAGGGGGUAUCGACUCCCUCUGUGCCGCAGUUAACACAAUAAGUAUUCCGCCUGGGGAGUACGGCCGCAAGGUUGAAACUCAAAUGAAUUGACGGGG
rnacentral:rRNA from 1 species